GCUUCCUUGGCUCAGUUGGUAGAGCGUUGGUCUCAUAGUCGUCACUAUGACACAUUCUUUAGAAUGUGCAAUCCAAAGGUCGUGAGUUCGAGCCUCACAGGGAGCA